AGAACGAACGCUGGCGGCGUGGAUAAGACAUGCAAGUCGAGCGCUGAUUAAAGGGUAGCAAUAUCUUUUAAUUGGAGCGGCGCAAGGGUGCGUAACACGUGGGUAAUUUGCCAUGAAGUUGGGGAUAACUUGCUGAAAGGCGAGCUAAUACCGAAUGUGGCCCGACGGAGACAUCUCUGUUUGGCUAAAGCUGGGGACCGCAAGGCCUGACGCUUCAUGAUAAACCCGCGGCCUAUCAGCUAGUUGGUGAGGUAACGGCCCACCAAGGCUAAGACGGGUAGCUGGUCUGAGAGGACGACCAGCCACACUGGAACUGAGAGACGGUCCAGACACCUACGGGUGGCAGCAGUCGAGAAUUUUUCACAA
rnacentral:rRNA from 1 species